GCCCGGGUGGCUCAGUCAGUUAAGCAUCUGACUUCAGCUCAGGUCAUGAUCUCGCGGUCCGUGGGUUCGAGCCCCGCUUUGGGCU
rnacentral:tRNA from 1 species